GUUUCUGGCCCUGCCAGUGUCUCCGCCGGUUGAAAGCGCGUGUCUGCGUCGGGUUCUGUUGGAGUGCGUUCGGUGCGCCGUGGGUCCGCGCUGCUUCCACCCAACUUCCUGUUAGGUUACAUUAGUUAUAAUAUACACUCUGGAGGUGACUUGACUUGUCAUUGUGAACAACUAUUGCUCUUGGACGACCCAGGACAUAGGCCAGCCAGUACGUACCCCAGUGUGUUGGAGAAUCGCACUCGGCUUCUUCCUCUGUGCUGAGUCAUGAAAGUUGCCGGAGCAGG
rnacentral:lncRNA from 1 species